rnacentral:rRNA from 1 species
CCUACGGGAGGCAGCAGUGAGGAAUAUUGGUCAAUGGUCGGGAGACUGAACCAGCCAAGCCGCGUGAGGGAGGAAGGUCCAGAGUAUCGUAAACUUCUUUUGUCAGGGAACAAAGACUGGGUCGUGUCCCCGGAUGAGUGUACCUUAAGAAAAAGCAUCGGCUAACUCCGUGCCAGCAGCCGCGGUAAUACGGAGGAUGCGAGCGUUAUCCGGAUUUAUUGGGUUUAAAGGGUGCGCAGGCGGGCUGUUAAGUCAGCGGGGAAAGCCCCGGGCUCAACCCCGGGCCCGCCGUUGAAACUGGCAGUCUCGAGUUGGAGAGAGGUAUGCGGAAUGCGCGGUGUAGCGGUGAAAUGCAUAGAUAUCGCGCAGAACUCCGAUUGCGAAGGCAGCAUGCCGGCUCCACACUGACGCUGAGGCACGAAAGCGUGGGUAUCGAACAGGAUUAGAUACCCCAGUAGUC